AUUGAACGCUGGCGGCAUGCUUUACACAUGCAAGUCGAACGGCAGCGCGGUCUUCUUCCUGGCUGCUAGUGUCGAACGCGUGUGUAAUACAUCUGAACGUCCCCACUUUUGGUUUAUAGCUCCUCCAAAUCCCUAUUACUACCGCCUACGACCUUCUCGUGAAAGCUGGUGAUCUUCGGACCUCUCGCUCUUUUAUCUGCCGAGGGCCGAUUUGCUAGUUGGUUGGGUAAAGGCCUACCAAGGCGACGAUCUGUAGCUGGUCUGAGAGGACGACCAGCCACACUGGGAGUGAGACACGGCAAAGAGUACUACGGGAGGGAGCAGUGGGGAAUGUUGGACAAUGGGGGAAAGCAUGAUACAGCAAUGCGGAGUGUGAGAUGAAGGCCUUGGGGUUGUAAAGAACGUUUGGCGGGAAGGAAAAGGAGUGGGCCAAUACGAAGGUUGGAUGACGGUAACGGAAGAAUAAGCACCGGCUAACUACGUG
rnacentral:rRNA from 1 species